AGCCUUGUAGUGUUAUUCACGUUAGAUUGCAAAUCUAUAAAAUGUAGGGUUAUUCCUACCGGGGCUU
rnacentral:tRNA from 1 species